GACGAACGCUGGCGGCGUGCUUAACACAUGCAAGUCGAACGGAAAGGCCCUGCUUUUGUGGGGUGCUCGAGUGGCGAACGGGUGAGUAACACGUGAGUAACCUGCCCUUGACUUUGGGAUAACUUCAGGAAACUGGGGCUAAUACCGGAUAGGAGCUCCUGCUGCAUGGUGGGGGUUGGAAAGUUUCGGCGGUUUGGGAUGGACUCGCGGCUUAUCAGCUUGUUGGUGGGGUAGUGGCUUACCAAGGCUUUGACGGGUAGCCGGCCUGAGAGGGUGACCGGCCCCAUUGGGACUGAGAUACGGCCCAGACUCCUACGGGAGGCAGCAGUGGGGAAUAUUGCACAAUGGGCGGAAGCCUGAUGCAGCAACGCCGCGUGCGGGAUGACGGCCUUCGGGUUGUAAACCGCUUUCGCCUGUGACGAAGCGUGAGUGACGGUAAUGGGUAAAGAAGCACCGGCUAACUACGUG
rnacentral:rRNA from 1 species